rnacentral:rRNA from 1 species
GACGUAGGGCGCGAGCGUUGUCCGGAUUUAUUGGGCGUAAAGAGCUCGUAGGCGGCUUGUCGCGUCGACCGUGAAAACUUGGGGCUCAACCCUAAGCCUGCGGUCGAUACGGGCAGGCUCGAGUUCGGUAGGGGAGACUGGAAUUCCUGGUGUAGCGGUGAAAUGCGCAGAUAUCAGGAGGAACACCGAUGGCGAAGGCAGGUCUCUGGGCCACUACUGACGCUGAGAAGCGAAAGCAUGGGGAGCGAACAGG